rnacentral:rRNA from 1 species
UACGGGGGGUGCGAGCGUUGUCCGGAAUUACUGGGCGUAAAGGGCGCGUAGGCGGAUAUUUAAGUCGGGGGUGAAAGCCCAGGGCUCAACCCUGGAAUUGCCUUCGAUACUGGAUAUCUUGAGUUCGGGAGAGGUGAGUGGAAUGCCGAGUGUAGAGGUGAAAUUCGUAAAUAUUCGGCGGAACACCAGUGGCGAAGGCGACUCACUGGCCCGAUACUGACGCUGAGGCGCGAAAGCGUGGGGAGCAAACAGG